rnacentral:rRNA from 1 species
GAUGAACGCUGGCGGCGUGCCUAAUACAUGCAAGUCGAGCGAACAGACGAGGAGCUUGCUCCUCUGACGUUAGCGGCGGACGGGUGAGUAACACGUGGAUAACCUACCUAUAAGACUGGGAUAACUUCGGGAAACCGGAGCUAAUACCGGAUAAUAUAUUGAACCGCAUGGUUCAAUAGUGAAAGACGGUUUUGCUGUCACUUAUAGAUGGAUCCGCGCCGCAUUAGCUAGUUGGUAAGGUAACGGCUUACCAAGGCAACGAUGCGUAGCCGACCUGAGAGGGUGAUCGGCCACACUGGAACUGAGAAGCGGUCCAAAAUCCUAAGGGGGGCACCGGUAGGGAAUCUUCAGGAAUGGGCGAAAGCGUGACGGAGCAACGCGGCGUGAGGGAUGACGUCCUUCGGAUCGUAAAACCCUGUUAUUGGGGAGUAAAAAAUGUGUAAGUAACUAUGAACGUCUGAACGGUACCUAAUAAGAAAGCAAGGGCAAACUACGU